rnacentral:lncRNA from 10 species
UGUCUUACAAAGGCCAAAAGGUCAUGCUACCAGGAGAUCAACGUCAACAGCAAAGAGUCCGUGAAGCAGUCUGUAGAGAGAGAGAUAAGGGGUCCAGUCUGACCAUUUUCUUUGAUUUUAAAAACCAACCAACCAACCAAAAAACCCUAGAACAUUUUGACUACUGCUGGGGUUGGGCGAGAUGGGGCAGCAGCACGAGGGGUCAGGAACCCCAUUGAAGCCCAUCCCGGGCACCUGGGGAAGCCUGGCCCCCCCCUGAGACCCUGACUCGGGUCAGGCCCACAAGUCCGGCCCUCCCCGCCACGCCUGUUCCCCUCGCUCCCCACCUUCCCACAUGCCCUCUUGGAGCGGGGCUGGUUUCAACUCUGCAGGUGAACUUGAGUCCCCUCCUGUCAGCUGCUUUUAGAAAGCAGACCAAGUCUCCCUGUUCUCUGAUUCUUGCCAUCUUAACAUGAAUAAAGAAAACUCAGGAGACAGUGGAUUGGUCGGAGCAAUGAUUCUUCUAAAUUCCUGAAAUUAACAACCACCACCACCCGAAAGAGAAGCAUCCUUAAAUUGUUCUGUUUUUGGGAGUGCAGAGUGAGGAGAGGCUUAGGGCUUCGGCCAUUUCUGAAAGGGUCUGGAAUUUGCCAAGAGCAGGACGGAACUGAGGGCGCAGAGGCUCUAAGGGCGCAACACAGAGAGCUGGCUGGGCCAAGGCCAGGGCUGUUCUGCCAUUCACCUGUUCUCAGAAAUGGGGCUGAGAGGAACACCCCGGGGCUAUCCUCAAAAGGAGGGACUCCCAAACCAAGCUCCCAUCUGGACAUGUGUGAGUGUGUGUACACACACACACGUGCAUGCUCACGUGCCGUCCCAGGAAAACCUCCAUGAGCUAUGGGAUGGUGGUCAGUUCUGUCCGCAGCUCUUUCUAGUACAAACUAAAAAGAUUUUUUAAAUAUAUAUUUGUAUAUAUAUAUAUAUAUAUAAGGUUUUGUUAUGCCUCUUUAAAGUUUAUUUACCAACUUGCAUUUGUUAGUGGUGUGUGUGUGUGU